AACGAACGCUGGCGGCAUGCCUAACACAUGCAAGUCGAACGAGACCUUCGGGUCUAGUGGCGCACGGGUGCGUAACGCGUGGGACCCUGCCCUUAGGCUCGGAAUAAUUCUCCGUCAGGGGUGCUAAUACCGGAUAAUGUCUUCGGACCAAACAUUUAUCGCCUUUGGAUGGGCCCGGGUUGUUUUAGCUUGUUGGUAGGGAAAAAGCCUACCAAGGAUACGAUCAAUAGCUGGUUUGAGAGGAUGAGCAGCCACACUGGGACUGGGACACGGCCCAGACUCCUACGGGAGGCAGCAGUGGGGAAUAUUGGACUAUGGGCGAAAGCCUGAUCCAGCAAUGCCGGGAGAGUGAUGAAGUCCGUAGAGUUAUAAAGCUCUUUAACCCGGGAUGAUAAUGACAGUACCGAGAGAAUAAGCUCCGGCUAACUCCGUG
rnacentral:rRNA from 1 species